CUCUAAACCAACAAAUAAAUAAAUGUCGAGAAUACAAGAUAUUAAC
rnacentral:misc_RNA from 1 species